rnacentral:rRNA from 1 species
GCUGGCGGCGUGCCUAAUACAUGCAAGUCGAGCGAACAGAUAAGGAGCUUGCUCCUUUGACGUUAGCGGCGGACGGGUGAGUAACACGUGGAUAACCUACCUAUAAGACUGGGAUAACUUCGGGAAACCGGAGCUAAUACCGGAUAACAUAUUGAACCGCAUGGUUCAAUAGUGAAAGGCGGCUUUGCUGUCACUUAUAGAUGGAUCCGCGCCGUAUUAGCUAGUUGGUAAGGUAACGGCUUACCAAGGCAACGAUACGUAGCCGACCUGAGAGGGUGAUCGGCCACACUGGAACUGAGACACGGUCCAGACUCCUACGGGAGGCAGCAGUAGGGAAUCUUCCGCAAUGGGCGAAAGCCUGACGGAGCAACGCCGCGUGAGUGAUGAAGGUCUUCGGAUCGUAAAACUCUGUUAUCAGGGAAGAACAAAUGUGUAAGUAACUGUGCACAUCUUGACGGUACCUGAUCAGAAAGCCACGGCUAACUACGUGCCAGCAGCCGCGGUAAUACGUAGGUGGCAAGCGUUAUCCGGAAUUAUUGGGCGUAAAGCGCGCGUAGGCGGUUUUUUAAGUCUGAUGUGAAAGCCCACGGCUCAACCGUGGAGGGUCAUUGGAAACUGGAAAACUUGAGUGCAGAAGAGGAAAGUGGAAUUCCAUGUGUAGCGGUGAAAUGCGCAGAGAUAUGGAGGAACACCAGUGGCGAAGGCGACUUUCUGGUCUGUAACUGACGCUGAUGUGCGAAAGCGUGGGGAUCAAACAGGAUUAGAUACCCUGGUAGUCCACGCCGUAAACGAUGAGUGCUAAGUGUUAGGGGGUUUCCGCCCCUUAGUGCUGCAGCUAACGCAUUAAGCACUCCGCCUGGGGAGUACGACCGCAAGGUUGAAACUCAAAGGAAUUGACGGGGACCCGCACAAGCGGUGGAGCAUGUGGUUUAAUU